CUUGCCUUCGAUCUCAUAUACCUCCUCCUCCCCCCCUGUUGGCCAUGCACCACUAGCCCGGCCGUGCUCGUUUUUGCAGCGGCAACCGCAUCUUCUUCCAAGAAAGCAAAGUGAGGAGAAGGAGAAGCAAGUGAAGGAAGUGGAAACGAUAGCGUAGUCUACAGCUGCGGAACGGAGCCAGACAAAACCAGCCCAAGAGUUAUUUACAUACGCUUCGCAUUUGGCAAGUUGUACGAACCAGAUCCGCAUGUAAGUGUCUCGUUAUCUUCGAUCCCUCUUUUAAAUACCGCACAUCAGUUUUAUUUCCUUUAAGCAUGUGUAUUUGAGUUUUUUUUCUUACGUAUAUAGUAUAUAGGUUAGAUAGAGAUUGAAGAAGUAUUGUAUUCGGUGCAUGAGGAACCAAUAAAAAAACAUAAGAAAUUUCCAUGCAUAUAAGGUUCUCCAUCCUUCUUCCGCACCAAAAUAUUAAAUUAUAUUACCGCUAGACUAUUUAAAGUGGUAGGAGCCUUUACAACAUAUCUGCAUAAAAACAAACACAAUUUCGUAAACUAUAUAUAUAUAAAAAUAGUAGGCUAAAGUUACAGUACAUUUCCAGAGUACAGGGAUUUGAGUGCAAUUACAAUGUUCCUUUUUUUUGGAAAAUUAGUUCAAUGCUAGUUUCAACAAAUUACAAAUAUGAAUAAGGGCCAGAAAAAUUGAU